rnacentral:misc_RNA from 1 species
GAUAAGAACGUAGCGAAAUGCGAUACUUGGUGUGAAUUGCAGAAUCCCGUGAACCAUCGAGUCUUUGAACGCAAGUUGCGCCCGAAGCCAUUAGGCCGAGGGCACGCCUGCCUGGGCGUCACACGUCGUUGCCCCCCCAUCUACUCCUUCGGGAUUGCGGGGGGCGGAUGAUGGCCUCCCGUGCGCCUCGCCGCGCGGUUGGCAUAAAUGCCAAGUCCUCGGCGACGCACGCCACGACAAUCGGUGGUUGCGAAACCUCGGUUGCCCGUCGUGUGCGGUCGUCGCGAAUCGAGGGCUCGAAAAAAUUGCCGGGUUCCGGCUCGGCUUUCAACGCGACCCCAGGUCAGGCGGGGUUACCCGCUGAAUUUAAGCAUAUCAAUAAGCGGAGGA